AGCUAGUUCUACCCCCAAACCAAUCUGCAAUCAGAUGACAGUCGUCCUAGUUGAUGGAAGAACCCACAAGACUCAUCUGGAUCAACUGGACACUUCUGAUCAAGGACAAUUGUCAGAGGUGGCCGUUUUAGAUGGAAAUAAAACACUGUGGGGCAGAAGAAAUGAAUGGAGCCAAGUGGAACCUAGAGCUCCAACGGGGUGUCUACACUGGGACAGAGGACCCACCAAGCAUGGCCUCUUUCCUUUCACUUUCACUUGGACCCCUCUAGAAUCUGAAUUUCUGCCGCUCUCCUGUUGGCCCAAUAUACAGCUAUCAUCAAUUCCUGUGUAAAAGGGAACCACUCACUUCUUUGUGUUUCCACUUCAUGAAAAGCUGGACCAUCUAUGGCCACAAGCCUGGCCGUUGAGUUAGAAGAUGAAUUGAGAGGGCUGGAGAGAUGGCUCAGUGGUUAAGAGCACUGACUGCUCCUCCAGAGGUCCUGAGUUCAGUUCCCAGCAGCCACAUGAUGGCUCACAACCAUCUGUAAUCGGAUCUGAUGCCCUCUUCUGGGGUGUCUGAAGACAGCUACAGUGUACUUACGCAUAAUAAAUAAAUAAAUCUU
rnacentral:lncRNA from 1 species